rnacentral:rRNA from 1 species
UACGUAGGUGGCAAGCGUUGUCCGGAUUUAUUGGGUUUAAAGGGUGCGUAGGCGGUUAUAUAAGUCAGUGCUGAAAUAUCCCGGCUUAACCGGGAGGGUGGCAUUGAUACUGUAUGACUUGAGUAAAGUUGAGGUUGGCGGAAUUGACGGUGUAGCGGUGAAAUGCUUAGAUAUCGUCAAGAACACCGAUUGCGAAGGCAGCUAACUAAGCUUUAACUGACGCUGAGGCACGAAAGUGUGGGGAUCAAACGGG